CCUGCGGUCUGUUUGCUGGGUGAGGAGCGGAGAGGUGACAGCAGCAGAGGCAGAAAAGGCUCCCGGAGCUGAGUGACUCUUGCCCGGUUCCCUGGUCUGAUUACUUGGGGUCCCCUUCGUCAGAGGAAGAUUAUUCCAAAGCACAACUUUUCAAAAGAAUUGGAAUGCUGGAAAGCACUCUCCACAAUUCUGCAUGGUUUGAUUACAUACUUUAUCUUCAGACUGCUCCGCUUGAGGGCUGCUGCUUCUGAAACUGCUCGGAUCCUUCCAGGUAGA